rnacentral:rRNA from 1 species
AUGAACGCUGGCGACGUGGAUAAGGCAUGCAAGUUGAGCGGACUUUAUGUGAGAUUAUAUCAAGUAUAAAGUUAGCGGCGAACGAGGUAGUAACACGUGAGAAUGAACCUAAGAGUCAGGUAUAGCUCGUCGAAAGACGGGGUAAUCCCUGAUGGUGUCGAAAGACUAAAGCCGUAAGGCGCUCUUUGAUCAGCUCGCGGAGUAUCAGGUAGUUGGUAGGGUAAUGGCCUACCAAGCCUAUGACGCUUAGGGGACCUGAGAGGGUGACCCCCACCGAUAGCACUGAGACACGGGCUAUACACCUACGGGUGGCAGCAGCCGAGAAUAUUCGACAAUGCACGAAAGUGUGAUCGAGCGACGUCGCGUGAUGGAUGAAGUCUUUCGGGAUGUAAACAUCUUUUGUAAGGGAGAACGUGGCAUUUAUGCCACACGAUAGUACCUUAAGAAUAAGGGGUUGCUAACUCUGU